GAUAAACAUGGAAACAAUCAUGAUGCUUCAUUGCAUAAUUGAAGGUGAAUACAAUUUUAUCCGAAUGUUGGCCACAGAGAAUUUUUCAGAUCAUUAUCUGUAGGUAUUUGUCAAUGGCGCCAAUGCCAAAUUAGUUUUAAAGUUGAAAUGAAAUGGUUGUGGUUGUGGGCAUGUGUAUUUGUGUGUGGUCGUCGAGAAGACUAAGAUCAAUGAGUCAUAUGGAGG
rnacentral:lncRNA from 1 species